rnacentral:rRNA from 1 species
AACGAACGCUGGCGGCAGGCCUAACACAUGCAAGUCGAGCGAGGACUUCGGUCCUAGCGGCGGACGGGUGAGUAACGCGUGGGAACGUGCCCUUUGCUACGGAAUAGCCCCGGGAAACUGGGAGUAAUACCGUAUGUGCCCGAGAGGGGAAAGAUUUAUCGGCAAAGGAUCGGCCCGCGUUGGAUUAGGUAGUUGGUGGGGUAAUGGCCUACCAAGCCGACGAUCCAUAGCUGGUUUGAGAGGAUGAUCAGCCACACUGGGACUGAGACACGGCCCAGACUCCUACGGGAGGCAGCAGUGGGGAAUCUUAGACAAUGGGCGCAAGCCUGAUCUAGCCAUGCCGCGUGAGCGAUGAAGGCCUUAGGGUUGUAAAGCUCUUUCAGUGGGGAAGAUAAUGACGGUACCCACAGAAGAAGCCCCGGCUAACUCCGUGCCAGCCGCCGCGGAA